rnacentral:tRNA from 1 species
GGUGAGGUGGCCGAGUGGUUUAAGGCGCUCGCUUGGAAAGCGUGUGUAGGGGAAACCUUACCGAGGGUUCGAAUCCCUCUCUCACCGCCA